UUUCUUUUUACUACCCAUCUGUUUAAUAAUUAUUUUCUUUUUUCCUUUUUUAAGCUUACUUGUUAUGCUAACAUUACUCUAAAUAGAAUGUUUAUAAUUGAUUGCAUUGCUCAUUUUUAAAGUUUUUCCCUUUUUGUUUAAUUAGAAUUUAUGGUAUGCCAGAACUAGAUCCCUCUCAACAAAGCAAGAAUCAAAAUUACUUUCAAGCAUCCCAGUGGGUUAAUGACAGGGUCUGAAUUUAUCUCUGAGCUCCAUUAAGGAAGAAACCUUUCCUGUUUUCAUUUAUUUCUUUGGGAGGGGGGAUUAACAUUUCAUUUAAAUAUGGCAUUUUCAGAAUUUAACUUUUCCCUAAUUGGUAUCUCUAUAUUUUAUUAAAUUGUAAACUUCAGGUAGAAUGCAUUUUGAGAAUGAAAGUGAAGUGCAACCAUUACAUGAUUGUAUACUUCCAGCUGGGCACAAUGGUGUGGGCUAGGUAAAAGGGAUUUCAGCCUUAUGAAGGGUGUUCUUUUUUCAAUCAUUUUUCUUACUCAGUUUUGUGAGGUUAUGUAGGGGACUUUUACCUUGUUGUACAUAUAAUUUCUUGACUGUCAUCCAAGUAGGCAUUAUUUAAUGGUCCAGAGUAGAUAGUCUCUCUCUCUGUGUGUCUGUCUCUCUCUCUCUCUGUGUCUGUCUCUCUCUCUCUCCACCUCCCUCUCCCUAUCCCUCUUUCUCUCUCCCCUAACCGCUUCCUUCCUCAGAAUAUAUGUAGAUACUUACGUGUACCUAUAUUGCUAUAAAAUUUCAAAGCACUUGCCUUCGGUGUGUGUUUGCAGUAGCAUUUGUGGCUUAGAGACAGUUGGGGAUUAGUGAUUACUGUGACUUGGAUAGUCUCACUCUGAUUAGGUGUCUCUUUCUGCCGGCUAUGUUUGGGUAAACUUGGAGAAACUGGUUUGAGUUGAUUCAUUUAAACAUAGUCAUUGGCCUCACAUUCUAAAACAUGUUACCUUUCCAUGCUUGGCAUGUAACCAGCCUGAGAUUUUCUUGUGUUUUGGCUGCAGAAGAUAGGAAAACCAUGAUUCAGAUUCAGUGCUGGCCAAAUGAAGUCUCUUUGGGGGUGGAUAAGCAAUGUUCCUUUUACAUCCAUGAUUUAUUCAUUAUAUCAAUCAUGAGAGUAUGGGGUUACUUUAAAUUAUAAUUUCAAACUUAUAGAAAAAUGUCAAGAAUAGUACAAAUAUUUAUUCUAAUUCCCUUACCUAGAUUCUCCUAUGGGUUCACAUUUUUGCUUGUUUACUUUCCAUCAUUUUCUGUUGCUUUCUUUCUCUGUACGUUUUUUUCUAAACUACUGGGAAGUAACUUGAAGAUACCACAUCCCAUUACCCUUAAAUACCUGAGUGUGUAUUCCUAAGAUUGAGCAUAUUCCUUUCAUAACCACAUUACCAUGAUCAAUAUUAGGAAAUUAGAUACUACAAUACUAGUAUCUAAGCUACAGUCUAUAUAUAAAUUUUGUCAAUUGUCUCAAUAUCUUCUAUAACUAUUUUUAAGAUCAGUUAUGUUUGAAAACACUGAGUUUUGAUUUUGCUACCUCUGUGUUUAGCCAUUUCUCCCCUCCUUAUUGUAUUUAAUUAAACCGAAAAUAGAUUAAGAAUUAUCUUGUUUCUAAAGUACUAAUUUAUGUUUUACUGGAAACUUUUAUAAAUAUGUGAGCCCAAGUCACUUAAGGGCAGAGUCUGUUAUGUUGUUAAACACUGUAUUUCCUAGAGUCCUUAACUUACUGCCUGUUUUUGCAAAAUGAGCAAAUGGGUAAGAGUCACAUUUUAGACCCCAGAUGUCUCAGCUUCCUAAUUAUUAAUGAUCUGUGACUUUUAUUUUUUCAGAAGAGUCAUGUCCUUGGGCUUCAGCUUUUGCCUUGUUCUAGGCUCCAAGAUAGGCCCAGUAAGUCUACUUUUUAGUGAGAUUUUAUAUAUUCACAUUUGCCCUCUCUACGAAAGAGAAUAGUUAGUGGACUCUCUGGAAGGCACUUCCCUUUUGUUUCCCUAGGGCCAACGUCCUCCCCCCUUCUAAAAUAUAAAACUAGGUCUAGGGACUUAUUGUUCUAUCCCUAUAUUCUCAUUUAAUUAAGACUGUGAGGCAUUUGGCGAUACUUUCUCUUUAAGCUUCUUCUUCACUCUCGCCUUAUUCAUUGCUUCUGCCAUUUAUUCACUUGGCAAGACAGCAGUGAUCUGAAGGGGAGAGUGGCGGCUAUGGGAUGGAGGAAAGAUCUCUGGGUUCUGAGUGACAUGAACUAAGCCAAAUCCUGGCUCUCUUAUAGGCUGUUUGUGUGCCAAAAUGGGUCAGAGCUCCAUUUUGCAGAUAAAUAACUGAGGCUCAGAGAGGAUCAAGGACUUGGGGGAAGCCAUAGAUCAUCUAUCAGAGGCAAGACUCCUCGUCCCAGCUCUGCAAUACUUGUUCAUGAAAAUAUUAUGAUUCUAGAAUCAUGCAUGGCAUUUAUGAUGAUGAUAAUGAUGAUUCUUAUUUCUAUAUUAUCUUUAGCAUAAGUUAUAGUCUACUAGUCUAUUUACACUGCCAGGAAUGGCGAGUCAGUUUUGUCUCGAGUGCUAACUGGAUCACUUUGUAGGGUCUGCCUGGAGUGCUGUGGAAAGAGAACUCUGGCCUCAAUCCUCUCUUCUCCUCCCUUUGUCCUCUCCUCUCUCUCCUCUUUUGCCCUCAUGUCCAAAUUGCUCUUGUUUGUUAUUGCAGAACAAUGCAGUCAUCCUUUCGAUUGAAAGAGGAUGACGAUUGUUUCCCUCAUGGUAAGAGUAUUUUUCUCUGAUUAGAGGUAGAGAGAAUGAAUCAGGGAGAGGGGAGAAGUAUGAGAGGUGGGUUCAGAAGGGAAAGAAAAGCAGAAAGCAGGAAGCCAGGAGAGGUCAGGGGAAAUGAGGAGGGCCUCGGGCUCAGGGCUGGGAAUAUUUCUGCUUUCCAUGUGGCAUGACCCAUCUGGGCAAGGGAGAAGGGGUCACUCACCGAGGAACUUUCAAAGGAGAAAACGUUCUGGCCUGAACAAAGUCCUGUCAUAUUCUACUGAUGUCCAAGUCACCAUCAUGAGUUGCCAUCCAAAAUAUGGAUGAGUAAGAGACAGGCUUGCUCCUGAGGUCCCUAGGUGCUGAGGCUCCUUCUGCCAUAGGACGGCCCAUACCCUGGAGUGCACUUCAAAUGCAGCUCCCACAGUACUUGCUAUGAGUGUCUGCCAUGUCGGCUGGAUGCUAAGCCCUUAGAAGGCCAGGACUGUGUCUCUCUUUCUCACCAUGGUGUCUACAGAGUCUGUGAGAGUUGCAGUGCAAUUCUGUUGCUGACUACCUGGAGUUAGGUCAAGGGCUCUGCCCUCUACAAGACUUCUCUUAUUUCAGACACUAGCCACAAGCUCUGGGAUUGAUGGCGGUUUUCCAUCAGCUCCCAAAGCCCACAGGCCACCUGCACUUUUGACCAACUGGCUACAAAUUUGGGAAUUCCCAUUACCCCCUCAGUUUUGAUAAUUUACUUCAUUCAACAAAAGGUGACGCAGUCACAAUUCUGUAUGACAGAGAUGGCUGUGCCCUCUAAAAUCCACAUGAUCAUCUUAUAAUAGCACCUUGGCCUAAGUUACUCUCCUUCCAUCUCACUGAAUGCAGUGUGCGUUUAUCAAGUGCCUGUCAUGAGCAAGGCUCUGGCUGAGCCCUGGUUCUCUUUAAACUGUUUUAUUGCAGGACCCCCUUGAGAUCUCUGAUCCUUCAUUUUAAACCCUGGCCCUUGCAGGGAGAUUUUCUUGGAUCUUGGAAAGGGCAGUUUGAUAAUUGCUUGUCAUCUUUGUUUUACACACCAUUUAGUGCAAGGUAGAUUUUUGCUCAACUCUUAAUGUCUCUCCAGAUUGGAGGCAAGAGAGCUAUUACAAAGAUGAUUGGCAUAAGGUCAGGUCCUAACAGCCAUCAGCUGACCCUCGGUUCACAUCAUGAAGACCUCUGAGGGACUGUGGCAACUUUGUGCCUCCUACAAUAUUCUUUAAGUUGGGAAGCACCAGCAAUGAGAGACUCUUAGGUUGAGGAGCCACCGUCAGCAGCGGCUAGUCUUCAUCUGGUGACAGAUGAAAUGGGUGACGGGGGUGAGCCACUGCCCCAUCUGCCCCAGGUUGGAAGGGCUGCUGUCAUUCUCCCAAAUGUGAAUGUGAUUGUCCUGACAGCUACUCCACUCUGUGAGAGACUGGAGUCUUGGGCCAGCGCCAGAAGCAUUCCUGUGAGAAAUCUGGGCUUGUUAGCAGAGAUCUAGGAUGUGCAGCCACCCAAACUCCUCAAAACCCGUGGGGAUGAAGGAAAGGAGGGAGAUAGAAGGAAACACUGGGAAACAGAAAGUGUUACUUCUUAAAAAAAAAAAAGAAGUCUUGCUAUUGCCUCUGACAGCCAGCUCUGUCAGUUGCAUUUGUGGCCACACAGGCAGUUGGCAAGCCGGGCAGAGAACUCUGCUCUCAUCUUCACAAGCUGCAGAUCUCCUGUGCUCCCUUAGCACCCUGGAAAAAAUUAGUCCCAGGGAACUAUGCAGUGCCAUCCACACUUAAGGGCCUCUGAUCAUCACAACAUUCAAAUCUUUCCCACUGUGUUUCUAUCUUUCUCCUUAGCUGGGGUGUGUUAGGUGUGAAAUUUGCCUUCAGGCCCUGUGGGCUUUGGGAGCUGAUGGAAAGCCCCAUUAAGAGCCUGCUGACAACACGGGUGCUCUCAGCUGUGACCAGAGAUGAGCAGGGGACAACAGGCCUGGGGGUGUCAACACUGGAAAUGAUUCUCCCAGGAGGGCUGAGAUGUGUCUGGUGGGUAUUGCCUACAUGGCUUUGCCUAGUGCCUGCAGCCCCCAAAACCAGGGGUAAGAGGAAGUGGGGUUCUGCCAGCCAAGGAUGGAUGGCAGAUGAGGCCACAGGAAGAGGAGGUGCUGGAAUCAGGAAGAGAUGUCAGAGCUUGGCGGAGAAGAGGCAGUUUGUAAGGCUGGUAGAUUUCAGCGGGGUCUGGUGUGAGAGGGAGCCGAGGAAGAAGAUGUGAGUGGUCAGUUGUUUCAUGGGACAGACUUGGAGUCCUGUACUUGCAUUCUUUGCGUGGACAAGACCCAGCACUCUCAGUUCCCUUAGGAACAGAGGACAAGGAGGGCAGCUCUCUGGGGCUUCCUCCCAGAUACACUCAGCAGUCGGUUCCCACUUGCCCUCCUGCCCGGCAUCUUCCAGGGAUUCCAAGAGGAGCUUGGGUCUAACACUGCCCUAGGAAGAACUUGCUCCUUUUUUUGUUGACAUGAUAAAAAAGUAAUCAGAGAAAUAAGGUGUUUAAACAAUACUUUAGCCAGAUGACCCCUUCCUCUCUCUCGCUUAGUCCAGGCAUGGCUGUGCCUUGACUGACAUUGGACUCCAUGCUCUGGAGAGGACCAGGGGCUCAGCAUGGAGGGUGCUGGCCACUUGGUCCUACCUGUGGAUGCCUGAGGGACAGUCUGAAGCAGGACAAACAGACCACAGAAGUUCUCAGGCAUCUCUGUAGCUUGAGGAUCAGGAUGGAUAUCCAUCGUGGAAACUUAUUGCUGAACGAGACCCAGGAAACUGAAGUAAGGGGGUUGAAUGACUUAAGACCAUUUAUUUAUUUGUUCAAGAAACAUUUGCUGAGUACCAGGCACUGGGAGGAAUGUUAAAAUAUGAUACACACAUGAAGUGUUUUAGGAAUCACCUGCUCCAGAAGGCUCCAGUCAUGACUGAUGGCAGGCACGGGGCCUCGUCAAACCCAGGUGCCUCCAAAUCAAGCCCCAUCUGAGGCAGAGUUGAGCAGGAAGUCUGUGCUCAGCUUUAGUCCAGCCUCUGGUACGCUCCCUCCCUGACAUUUGUGGAGCAUGGCCUCUUCUCUAAAUUCUUCCGUCUUCGCCAGCUCCUCACUGUCUUCACUCUAAGAUUGCUGAAGGUGCUCCAGUUGCCUCCAUCAGCAUGCUGCCUGUACACCUCCCUGCUCAAGUCUUUGAGUUCAUUAGGUAUAUUUUCAAUCUUCCAAGUUACUGUAGGUAACAAUUAUACCAAACGUUUUGCCAUUAAAAAACAUGGGGUACCAUUUUUCUAGCCUCCUAUAAUACUGUCCUCAUCGUUUUUUCUAGCCUCUGAAAACAUAUAUAUUGCAACAGGUUGUAGUUAUAAUAUAUUGCUACCUGUGACCUAUUCCCAAAACCAAGACCAACAUUGGAAAUGAUUCUCCCAGAAGGAGGGCUGGCUGAGACGUGUCUGGUUGGCAUUGCCUGCAUGGCUUGGUCUAGCACCUGCGGCCUCCAAAACCAAAGGAAAUGCCUGGUCCUGCUAAUUCCUGAGCCAUUUGGGGAUUAUGCAACGUAAAUCUGGUUGCUUCUUGGCUUUCCGGCUACCGCCUUAGGAUUCAUAUUUUCAGGUUUGUUGAGUCAGUCACCACUUGCCCAUCUGCUUUCCAGCUUCCAAAAUUUCAUUACUGUUGUCUCUUUUCACAUUUUCUUUGUCCUUGUGGGUUUAUGCCUGUAAUAAAAUCCUUUUACUGUCAUUUUUGUGGGGUUUGGGGAGAGAGCAAGGCUAAAUGCAUGUUUUCAAUCCAUCAUCCUGUCAACCUGGCUCUUUCUUGACGUCUAAAUGAUCAGCCGCCUUUCCCUCUCAGCUGCUCCGGCUUUAAUUACGUGCUGCUCAGAGCCCCUUGUUGCCUGGUGACAACCAAGUGGAAGAACUUUGAUGAAGUGCCUGAUGGAUGGUGACUCACCUCUCAGUCUGGAUGAUUGUUGGAACACAAUGUCAGCUGCAGAAUAACCCUUUCUGACUCAAUGUUGUGUCCACAAACACAGAUUUUAAGAAACCAACCACCUCUUCAGAGUUUUGAAUACAUAAUAUCACCUGAUUUUUUUUUUUGUCUCAACCUGGGGCAUAAGGAUCAUUCAGUUGCUGGAUUUUCUUAAGUUAAAUUGCUAAAGAAUACAAAACAUAACCACUUGGUCUAUUUGGAUGGCCUUCAGUUAUUUUCUAUCAGCCCAUUGGAAAUGAUGGGGCUGGGAAGGAUACUCUGUAACUGAGAGUUUGAUCAGCUGUUUAGUGUCUUUCAAAUGUGGAUUGACCAUUGGAGCUUACCAUAUGACAGACGGGGAGGCCGAGUUAUUAACAUUUAUUUCCUGAUGUCGUUUGACCCACAGCCUCUCUAACAGUACCAGAUAUGUACUGCUAGCAUAGCAGGAGUUCUGCAGGUGAAAGCCAUCUUGAAAAUGAAUGGAAACAUUUUUGGAGUGCUAUGGAGACAAGGACCUACAAAUGUAUUUCCAAGCAGAGAAAGAAGAGAGACUGACCUGUGACGACUAGUGAACCUUCAACCAGAUAACUAGGGUUCAAAUCCUGAGUGUGCGUCUUACAUUCUGCAUGACCUUGGGUAGUUUUCUUGAUCUCUUGGAUAAGAAAACAGCUCUCUUUCCUCACAGGAUUGUGGGGUAAAUUAAAGGAUCAAUGAAAGCUUUUUGCUAAAUGAAAGUUCUAUGCAAAUACAAGUCUUAUUUGGGGAUAGUUAUGAAUAUAAGUAGCUUAUACAAGGUGGGUAGGUAGUAAGCAGUUCAUUUUUAUGCACUUUUUAUUACUUGGAACACGUGGCACCUGGCAGACUAAAUGAACUCUAUAAGAUGUUUUCUGUAAGGUACACUUAACAAGAAGCACCUGAUGGGCUCUUGGUACAUGCCAGGUCCUGUUCUGAGCACUGUAUACAAAGUAAGUCAUCUGAACCUCAGAACCACUCUAUAAGGCAGAUUCUACAGAUGUUGUUAUCACCAUUUUAAAAUGAGGGAAACUGAGGCCCAGGAAGCUAAGUAAGUUGCUGAAGCUCAUCUUGCUUACUAAUGGAGCCAGGACUUCCCCAUAGGCAGCCUGGCUCCGGGUCUUCAGGGUAACCUCCGCCCUGCACUCUGGGGUUGUGAAAUGGCCGCCAUGCACAUUUCCUAUUCUUUUCAACUGUUCCUUUCUAGGCUCUUCUUCCUUUGGUGGGACACAAAAUGUUAAUGUCUUCUGGGUUCUCACUCAGGCUUUAUUCUCAUCUCAGUACCCUCUCCCUGAGCAGUUGCUACUUAUCCAUGGUUUUAAUCACCAUCUAUAUGCUAAUGACUUCCACAUCUGUGUCCAACCCUGGUCUCCCUCCUGGUUCCCAGAGGGAUUAUUCAACUGCUUACUAAGUGUCUUGCCUUGGAUACAUUAAAAUCACCUCCAACUCCUCAUAUCUAAAGUUUUACUCCUGAUUUUUCUUCCGAUCCACUAAGCCUUCUCCUCAGUCUCUGAGCACCCUUCACCGAGGUAGGUAGGAAGAGUCCUGAGAUCAUCCUUGGGUCUCCUUCUUCUUCACCUCCUAUAUCCAUCCAGCUCAUAUCUAAGUCCUGUCAACUUGGUCACCUAAAUAGCUCAACAUUGUCUGUUUCUUUAUAUCUUGGGCCAAUACCUUAGUCCAGGCCAGGGCCAUCUCUUAUCUAAAUUAUUGCAACGUCUUCCCCAAACAGUUUCCCUCCCUCAGUAGUUAUCUCACAUUGCAGUCAACAGGACUUUUUCAAGAUAUAAAACCCAUCACAUAUUUUCCUGCUUAGAACUCUUCAAGGACUCCUAAUGACCUUAGAUAAUGGCCAGCUUCCUUAACUUGGCUUCCAAGACUGGCCAUAACCUGGCCACAUCCUACUGCUUACCCUCAGAUUUCAACACAGUUUUUCUUACAUCUUUUUUCUACAGCCAUUGUAAACUUCUUUCAGAAUCUCUAUGCACCUCUCUCUUGCCUCAGGACCUUUGCACGUGAAGCUGUUGCUUUUGCCUAGAACAGUCUUAAUCCCUCACCCACUACACUUUUAUGUCUAGCUCCUUGUCAUCCUUCAGGCAUUAACUGAAAGUGGAAACCUUUUCUGAGAAGUCUUCCUUGAUUUUUCUAGCCUUUGUUAAGUGCCUUAUACAAGAGGGCUUCAGAAAGUUCAUGGAAAAAUGGAAUUAAAAGAGAAAAAUAAAAAAUAUAAACUUGAUUUCUCAGCAUAAACUUCAUCAAGGUCAAUACAACUUUGUAAGUGAUGAUAUCAGCUGUUUAGUCCAUCCCCAAAUAACUGAGGAUCCUGGGAAUUUAUCCAUGUCAAUGCAGUCUUUUUUACAUUAUUAACUGAAAAUGGGUUCUCUUUAAUAAUUUUUUUAAAUUAGGGAACAGAAAGAAGUCAGAAGGAGCCAGAUCAUGACUGUAAGGUGAAUGCCUAAUGAUUUCACAUGAAAACUCUCACAAAAUUGCCCUUAUUUGAUGAGAGAAAUGGGUGGGAACAUUGUCAUGAUGGAGGACUCUCUGGUGAAGUUUUCCCAGGCAUUUUUCUGCCAAAGCUUUGGCUAACUUUCUCAAAACACUCGCAUAAUAAGCAGAUGUUAUCAUUCUUUGGCCCUUCAGAAAGUCAACAAGCAAAAUUCCUCAAGCAUCCCCAAAAAACUGUUGCCAUGACUUUUGCUCUUGACUGGUCUACUUUUGUUUUGACUGGACCACUUCCACAUCUCAGUAGCCAUUGCUUUGAUUGUGCUUUGUCUUCAGGAUUGUGCUGAUAAAGCCAUGUUCCAUCUCCUGUUACAAUUCUUUGAGGAAAUGCUUCAAGAUCUUGAUCCCACUUGUUUAAAAUUUCCAUUGAAAGCUCUGCUCUUCUCUGCAGCAGCUGACCUGGGUGCAAUAGUUUUGGCACCCACUAAGUGGAAAAUUUGCUCAACUUUAAUUUUUUAAUCAGAAUUGUGCAAGCUGAACCAGUUGAGAUGUCUAUGGUGUUGGCUAUUAUUUGGGUCAUUAAUUAUCAGUCCUCUUCAAUUAGGGCACAAACAAGAUUUUUUUUUUUUUUUUUUUUUUUUUUGCUAAUUGAUGUGGAUAGUCUCCACUGAGGGCUUUGUUUUCAAUGCUAUUUCAUUCCUUCUUAAAAUGUAUUAUUCAUUUGUAAACUGCUGGUUUCUUUGGGACAUUGUCCCCAUAAACUUUUCAUAAAGUGUGAACGAUUUCAUCAUUCCUCCACCCAAGAUUCAUCAUAAAUUUGAUGUUUGUUCUUGCUGCAAUAUUAGUAGAAUUCCUGUUGCUCUGAUAGGGCUCAAUUGAAAAUGAUGUCUUAUCCUUUUUAGUGACUCAAACUAGAUACCGUUCUGACAUGUUAUAAAAAGUUAGUAUGAGUUUAUUUUGGUGCAAAAAAAUUGAGCUCCAUUUAUAGUUUUUAAAAUAAUAUGCAUUUUCCAUAAACUUUUUGAAGACUCAGUUUUACCUUUAUGUGACACUGGCUAUAAUUUGUUGCAAUUGGUUUCUUACUUGCCUGUCUCUCUGGCUACAUUGUAAAUUCCUUAAAGGCAUGCUCCAUGUAGGUCUAGCUCAUCACUGUAUCCCCUGAGAUUAGCACAAUGCCUGGCACAUAACAGGAGUUCAAUAAUCAUUUCUUGAAUAUUUAAAUAAUGUUAUAUAAAAACAUCAAAGAUUGUAAAUUACCCCAUUCUCAAAGUAAGACCCCCAAAAAUUCAUGCUCUUUUUUUUCAUAGAUCACUAAGUGAGAAGGCAAACUGAAGACGGAGCUUUGCUUUAUUCAAGACAUUGGGAACCAAAA
rnacentral:lncRNA from 1 species